GAUGAACGCUGGCGGCGUGCCUAAUACAUGCAAGUCGAGCGAACGGACGAGAAGCUUGCUGCUCUGAUGUUAGCGGCGGACGGGUGAGUAACACGUGGAUAACCUACCUAUAAGACUGGGAUAACUUCGGGAAACCGGAGCUAAUACCGGAUGAUAUUUUGAACCGCAUGGUUCAAAAGUGAAAGACGGUCUUGCUGUCACUUAUAGAUGGAUCCGCGCUGCAUUAGCUAGUUGGUAAGGUAACGGCUUACCAAGGCAACGAUGCAUAGCCGACCUGAGAGGGUGAUCGGCCACACUGGAACUGAGACACGGUCCAGACUCCUACGGGAGGCAGCAGUAGGGAAUCUUCCGCAAUGGGCGAAAGCCUGACGGAGCAACGCCGCGUGAGUGAUGAAGGUCUUCGGAUCGUAAAACUCUGUUAUUAGGGAAGAACAUAUGUGUAAGUAACUGUGCACAUCUUGACGGUACCUAAUCAGAAAGCCACGGCUAACUACGUG
rnacentral:rRNA from 1 species